rnacentral:ncRNA from 1 species
AACAACGAACUGUGAGAAGUCAGCAGAGGCCACAGUACCGUAAAAAAAAAAUGCGGGAAGGGC